rnacentral:rRNA from 1 species
AAAUGAAUUGACGGGGGCCCGCACAAGCGGUGGAGCAUGUGGUUUAAUUCGAAGCUACGCGAAGAACCUUACCAGGCCUUGACAUCACCCGGAAAGCCGUGGAAACACGGCCCUCCUUCGGGACCGGGUGACAGGUGGUGCAUGGUCGUCGUCAGCUCGUGUCGUGAGAUGUUGGGUUAAGUCCCGCAACGAGCGCAACCCUCGCCCUUAGUUGCCAGCACUUCGGGUGGGCACUCUAAGGGGACUGCCGGUGACAAACCGGAGGAAGGUGGGGAUGACGUCAGAUCAUCAUGCCCCUUAUGGCCUGGGCUACACACGUGCUACAAUGGCCGGUACAGACGGAGGCGAACCCGCGAGGGGGAGCGAAUCCGAGAAAGCCGGUCUCAGUUCGGAUCGCAGGCUGCAACUCGCCUGCGUGAAGGCGGAAUCGCUAGUAAUCGCGGGUCAGCAUACCGCGGUGAAUACGUUCCCGGGCCUUGUACACACCGCCCGU